CUGUGUGUGACUCAGUCUGGAUGCCCAGGCUCUGAGCUGGCAGCUUUGUUCUCCCACUGGCCGGGUAGGCUGCGUGCUGCAGCCCUGAGUCACCCGGGUGUGGCCGAGCUGCUGGCGGGACAUACAUGGCCACAUUCACAGAGAACCACACAGAAGCUCAGGACACAGUGCCCUGGGAGCGGAGGGGCCCCCUGGUGUGGGUGCUGUCGCUGGUGCCUUUCCCUCGGUGGUGCUGUGAGGCAUUCCCGAGAAGCUCCUUGGUGACUAAGGGCCCUGUGCCCCUGGAGCAAACUCAGCUGUUUACUGAGAAAGGCUUCUCUCUCUUCAUGGUCACUCCCUGGUUCGGGCCUGGAGGGGGACCUGCAGGCACAGCCAGAGACCCUGAGGGGUACACAGAACCUUCCCCAGCUACCUGAUAAAGGGCAUAUGCAGGUGACCAUGUGCCAUCUGUCCAAACUGUGCACCCAUUGGAUCCUUGGAACAGCUCUGAGAGGAAGGUGCAUUGUUCCCACUUUACAGAUGAGGACACCAGGGUGGUUAAUAGUUGUCUAGAGUCACCCGACUAGCGUGUGUCCCACCGGGACGCUCUUCCUCAGGUGCUCUGUGUGGCCUGGCUCCGGCCCUCCCUCCACUUCAGUCCAGCUCAUCACUAGGAUCCCCUCGACACCACCCCUUGCUCAGUCAGGCAGGGGCCCACAGGGACUGGGGCCAGAUUUUCCCAUGGGGAAUGGUGUCACUGUCCCUCCCAGGCAUGGGGCCUGGCGCCCAGGCCCUUCCACUGUCUCUGAGGAUGAAGACACAGGGCUCUGCUGGACUCCCUGGAGGGUACCUGACCUGCUUUCUCUGGGCUAACAGCAGGAGGUCCUGGGGCCCUGAGGAGCAGCUCCCUACUUGGGGGAUCCAGGCCUCACUGCCCCCAGGGACAGCGCAGGAAGUGUGUGCAUAUCUGUGUGUGUGGGAUGGGACAGGAGAGGCAGCUUGGCUUAUACCAGGUGUAGGGGGGAAGCAGUGCAGGCAGCCUGGGCUCUAAACUGCCUGUGGACAGCCCCCUCCCACAAGGGUGAGGAUGGGCACACGGGGCCCCUGUGUCCUGGGCCAGGCUUGGGUUCUUGGAGGCCAGCUGGAGCUUGCCUGCUUUUCUCAGGUAGACCAGGGUCUGCUAUGGACCCUGCUGCCCCCAGAAAGGCCUAGCCUGGUACAGUGGGGUGAGCAGCUGGGGUGUGGCCCCAGGAGCUGGCCCCACCCCCUGCACCAUCCUGCUUUGUCAGAAGCUGUUUGAGGGAGAGAAGAAAGCACCUUAUUAGAUAGAGAUGAGGUCUCACUGUAUUACCCAGAUUGGUCUCGAACUCCUGAGCUCAAGCGAUCCUCUGACCUCAAUCUCAAAAAGUGCUGGGAUUACAGGCGUGAGCCGCCACGCUAGGCCUACCUACCUCUUUCAAGACUCAGCCCCACUACCUAGGGAAACCCAGAUGGAGUCUCCCUCUGUCGCCCAGGCUGGAGUGCAGUGGUUCAAUCUCAGCUCACUGUAA